rnacentral:rRNA from 1 species
AAGCGGCGCACGGGUGAGUAACACGUGGGUAAUCUGCCUCGAAGUGGGGAAUAACACCGGGAAACCGGUGCUAAUACCGCAUAAUCUGACGAAGUCUGCGGAUUUUGUCAGCAAAGGAGCAAUUCGCUUUGAGAGGAGCCCGCGGCUGAUUAGCUAGUUGGUGAGGUAAUGGCUCACCAAGGCUACGAUCAGUAGCCGGUCUGAGAGGACGGUCGGCCACACUGGAACUGAGACACGGUCCAGACUCCUACGGGAGGCAGCAGUGGGGAAUUUUUCGCAAUGGGGGCAACCCUGACGAAGCAACGCCGCGUGGGUGAUGAAGUCUCUUGGGACGUAAAACCCUUUCGACGGGGACGAAAACCGCAAGGUUUGACGGUACCCG